UACGAAGGGGGCUAGCGUUGCUCGGAAUGACUGGGCGUAAAGGGCGCGUAGGCGGUUUGUACAGUCAGGUGUGAAAUUCCCGGGCUCAACCUGGGGGCUGCACUUGAUACGUAUGGACUGGAGUGGGGAAGAGGGUCGUGGAAUUCCCAGUGUAGAGGUGAAAUUCGUAGAUAUUGGGAAGAACACCGGUGGCGAAGGCGGCGACCUGGUCCUUGACUGACGCUGAGGAGCGAAAGCAUGGGAGCGAACAGG
rnacentral:rRNA from 1 species